rnacentral:lncRNA from 1 species
GUUAUUUCUCAGGACUGCCUGGCGGUGGCCGGAUCCAGCCUCCUGCCUGGCUGGGCUUUCGGCUGUUUGCGCGUCUCCUGGUGGCGUUUCCCUUCCCCGUACACCUCUGCCGACGAUGAGGAAAGGUCUGAGGGCGACAGCGGCCCGCUGCGGACUGGGACUAGGAUACUUGCUGCAGAUGCUUGUGUUACCUGCCCUGGCCCUGCUAAGCGCCAGUGGCACCGGCUCCGCCGCUCAAGGUAAGAGGGUCUUCAGGGCGCGGCAGUCACCUCCCUUUGCUUCUGUCUUCCCUCUCUUCUACCUCUAUUUGUCCCCGGCGCUCCUUGAUUCCUCACCUGCCUAGUUGCCCCCAAUGGAAACCACUUUAAAUCCCACUUUCCCAACUAGUUAAGAAACCAGAUUUUCAGUCUUAGCUCUGGAUCUGGGUAAGGAUGGACCCGGGGUGUGUUAAGUGUAGCUGCUGUCUCGGUGCCUGUGGGAUCCUGGAGUGUCUUUUGCACUUUCAGACCCACAGACGCACGGUUUUGAAUAUUGUGUAGCCGGGGGUUUCCAGAGGCACUGAUAGUGGCGUUGUGGUAUGUGCCCCAAUAUGUGUAGUGUGCCGAGGCUUCUCGCUGUGCGCGAUGGCUGCGCUUGCAGGGUUUUCUUCCACCUCCGCUAAGGAAAUAUGUCCAUUACCGCCAAGGACCCAUAGGCGCUGGUGCCCCUAGACUGCUGAUGGGGCGCUAUGGAGAUGCUCAAUUCGCCCAGAAAGGACAGGCUCCGGGUGUGCCUGCUUCUCCACUCACAACCUCUUCGUGUCCCGCUCCGGACAGGCGAUCCUUGAAAAACUUCAAAACCACAGCUCUAGUGGGUGACUCUAGCUGUUCGAACCAAAUCUGCAACUCUCUGGGGGAAAGGACGCUGCUAACCAGUUUAUAACUGACAUUUUAAUGCGUGUAAGCCUCGAAGUGUGUGGCACUCUGAGCAAAGCCGGAGUAGGAGGACAGUGGUCCAGAGUUGGGAAUGUCUUGUACGGGUAGAGGGAAGACACCUAGACUGAGGUUCAUCUUGGAGGCUUCUUUCUUGUUCAUUGAGUUUUAGAGGGAGGUGCAGCUCCCAGACUUAUUCAAACCAGUUCCCACCCAGAUCCUUCUUUGCCAUUUUAAAGAUUUAUUUAUUUAUUUAUUUAUUUAUUUAUUUAUUUAUUUAUUGUCUAUAGCCAGAAGGCAACACAGCUUUGCCUGGAGAGAGAGGCAACAAUUCAGAACCAGCUCAGAGACCUUCCCUUUUCUACACACACACACACACACACACACACACACACACACUUCUUUGUGAAUUUGGAGAGUUUGGGGGGAGGAGCAGCAACCCUCCUUCCAUGAUGCUCACAGACUGGUUUAUUCCAACUGCAGCCUGCAUUUCCUAAAAUCUACAGGCACUGAUGCAGGGAGGUGGGUGCUGAAAGAAAGCCCAGAGGCCAGGCAAGCCUGGUCCUCAUGAGGAGGUAUGCGAUGAGCAAGGCAGUGUGAAUCUGAGAUAGCUACUUAGGGAGUAAAUUGCUCCUGCUACACUGCUAAGUGGCCAUGCUCAUAAAUCCUGCCUUCCUUUCUGGACAGACGCUUCCUACCCUUGUGGGUCAGCUCUGGUUUGCUUAUGCACACAUCCAGAGCACCUCUGACCAUGUUCAAGGGAAUCCGUGCUAGAAAGCCUAGAGUUCUUGAAAGUGGUGAGAAGUUUUCAGGACUCUAGCCAGAAAUGCUUCCAGGAGGAUCUUAGGAAGCCAACGUGGACAACGAUCUUAGGAAGCCUAAGGGUUCUGGAAUCAGCUGUAUGAGUCCUGCUGGAAUUCGGUGUCAUUUUUCUGUGCACAAAGGACUAAGCCACUGGGGGGUGAGGGGAAGGGUUUGGGAAAAGGAAAAGUUAAAAGUCCCCAAAGAUGCAAAAAGGAGGCAGGAUCCCUGUGGAGAGCUUACAACAGCCAAAUUAAAAAGACUGGGUAGGAGAAGGAUCGAUGAAGAUAAUCAAACAGGGGACUGUAAGUGGAUUAAUAUUGAAAGAAGGGAGCAGAGACUAAGCGGGAAGGAGCUGGGGAUACGUUCUGCCUCCUGCACUUUCUCUUGGUCUACACCAGACAAGGCAAAGGUUGAGGAUUAAUUCUGAUCUUCAGCAGGGGAAGAAAAGAAGGUUUAGGGGGUGUACGCCAUUCUGGUGUGGAUUUUCUCCAUUUGCUCUCGAUCAGGGAGAAUAACUCCCCCCCCCUUCAAAUCACAUGGUCUGAGAUGCAGGACUCUCACUUUUAUCUUUGUUAUCCUCCAUGUUCCAGAGCACCAGCUCUUCCUGUGUUAUCUGUGAGACAUCAAAGGGAGUGUAGAGCACAGAAAUCUGCUAUCAGCUACUGUCCCUGUGGCUGCUACUCAUUAGCCAGGCCUGUUUACUACUGACCUGCUGUUAACACUCUAUUCUCAGCCAGUCACUGUAGGACAGUCUGGUGGGCAGGCUCCCAUUCCCUUCAGUAUCUCCUUUCUGUCCAAUUUACACUCGAGCUUCCACACAUACCCCAAAGGUACCAUUUGCUUGUUCUGCUGCAUUAAUGACUCCAGUGGACAGUACUUUUCAUGAAUGGAAGUACAUAUGCAACUAGAAUGCAAGACAUUCAUGAAGUACUUUACAAUGUGAUGAAGGUUUCGAACCUGUUGGAGCAGUGCUGAGAAAAUGAGAAGCUUUCGAAAAAAAAAAGUAGAUCUCGAGUUGAAAUCAGCCCAGGGGAGGAGAAAAACCAACCACAACAUGGUUGUAGAAGCACAGAGCGAGUAUUAUUUAUGAGUGAGGGAGUUUUGCAACUGUGGAUUAAAGACAGACAGCAGUCAUGUUAAACAGGUCCUUGGGAAAUUCUCUGAGCUGUAGGCAACAACUUUCCCCCUCUCUACCCCUGCUCUAAUUGGUUCAUUGAGUAUUGCUGGGAAACCUUUUCUCCAGGGAAUUCUCAGGGCUCCUGACUUCCAAGAAUGAAAGAUUUUUACUAGGAAAGGCAAGGGGUGUGUGUGUGUGUGUGUGUGUGUGUGUGUGUGUGUGAGUGAAUUUUUGCCUCCUUUUACGUCACAAUGUCUCUCUUAUCUGCCACCACUAAUAUUAUGUGUGCUAACACCUCCAAGUUUAGACCAGAAAAUUAUUAAUAUCUAUUCAGAGAUAAUUCCCUUAUUGCAUAAAUUUAGUGUUUUUAAGACAAGUAACACAUUUCUUUCCACAGGAGAGGAAAGUACUUUCAUAGCUUUAUGCAUGUUGGUGUUUCACAAAUUGACAGUCUGUUUUGAUAAUAGCCAAAUUUGAUGGCUACUCUCUCAUAUAUGGCUCAGCUGGGAGACAAAUUCAUGUAUUCACUAUGGAGAUUUAC